AGAUUGUGGCUGAAGCUGAAUUUUAUGAGCCUUCCCCCAAAAAUAUUUUCAAAUUGUCAUAUGAAGACUCAACAAAAAGAAAAACAGAGAAGAAGGAGGAAAAGAAGAAGAAAGAAGAAUAAAAAGAAAGAGAUAAAGAAAUAAACAAACAAAAUAAAAAGGCUCUCCUGUACUUCUUUUUCAGGGCAAGAAACAGAACGGAAAUGGAGAGGAGAGCCCAGCAUGACUUGCGCCGUGCCAAAGGAAUACGUGUGAGUUGGCUUCGUGUCAUCGUAACAAAACCCUGAGAGAAAUAUCUUGAAAGAGCCAGGUUGGUCCAGACCUGCUGGCAAGCCUGCAGCCCCAUCCACCGAUUACCUAAUACACUUGUGACAUCUGCUUUCCUUGUUGUGAGAAAACACAGGGAGGAAGUGUGUGCAGAAGGGGUGAUGCCUGACCUACACACCCGGCAAUACCAGAAGUUUCACUACCUUCCGUUGGUAAACGCUUCAGGGAAGGCUCUGCAACCCUGAACGUGUUUUAUUGUAGAACCUCACUAGGAAACUCAUCAGUAUUUAUUAAAGAUGAAUUAAAAGAAGGAGGAAAAGGAAAAACGGGAUAGUGAAGAGAAUAGAUGAAUGAAAAAGAAGCAAAGGGAAGAGAGGAGGAAGGGACAAAGAGGGCAAGAAAAGAGAAAAGAGAGAUGAGAGACCAGGACUUCCCACCUAACCUUACCAAACUUUUUCAGUUGAGCUUUUAAUGGGAUACUAUUCCCAAGAGGAAAUUCAAAAAGAAAACCACCUUGAAACAUCCUUGCUUUUAAUUGUACUCUUUCAACUGCCAGGAAAUUAAUUAGGUAAGACAAAAAGAAAAUUUUCUACCUUAAUAAAAAGAAGCCAACACCCAGGAACAACUGUCUUUGCUUGAGAACAGUGUUACGUGUACAAAGCUGCCUACAAAGUGUCUCCCGCCUGGCUCAGGCAAGAAACUGGGACAGAAGUCUGUGAUGUUAUACCAGCCUGGGAGUCGUGCAUGGUCAUGUCAGUGUCGAGUGCACCAGGCGACACAGGGACAUGCCAGGCACCGCUCCUCCAGAGAGACUUGCCAGGUGUCCAGCUACAGAGGCCAAGCCUGUGAUUUACAUCAAGCAAAGAGUCCUGGGAGAAAGAGGAGGAAAGACCGCCUUUGCCUGGGACAAGAUUCCUAUUUGUGUCAAGGAGAGUUAGGGACGAGAUGGUUGAGGCAGAGCAGCUGACUGCAGUCUUUAUCCAGUUUGCAUUGCUUUGGGGAAAGCCUUUUAACUGCAAGCCGGAUUGUCCAGAUGCUGGGCUGUCCGGAUGCUGGAUGGUCCAGAUGCUUUGUCGUGGUUGUUCCCUCUGAGUUUCCUCUGCCUUCUGGCUCCUCUUAGUCACCUUCACAACAGGGCUUUAUCAGGACUCUAGAGCAUCGGGCAAGCUCAGGUCUCACCUCUCCUUUUAAUUCUGCAGGAGUCUAUGCCAUGUACUCCAGCCCUGCAUAGAAUGAGUUCUGGAGUUCACCUGGAGCCCACGGAGAGUGGAUGUGGAACUUUUCUGUAGAACAUAGGAGCCGUCUGUACCGGCACAGCUUCAGCCAGCAAUAAGCAUUACCAGCUCCUGCCAGAGGAGCAAGAGGCAGCCACUGAGCUAUAGAGAUCCACACUCCGUCCCUCGUACAACUGCCGCUGUGACCACCUUCUCCUUUCUGCUUUAUUACGUCUGAGAAGCAUUUCAUAUGAUAACCUUCCCUUUCACUCUGGCCUGGACCCUUAUUGAAAAGGAAGAAGCAGUGGAAGAGAUCAGACAAGCAGUGUUGUUCGAGACACUUCCUAAUUCCCUUAACAAGGGUUAUGAAGUUUCGGCUGGGAAAAAGGACAAGGGGCAGAGACAGUGUUUAUUUACAGAAUGGUUCUAGAAGAGCUGACAGGCUUCGAAUGGCCGUGGGUUGUACGGUUUUGACAUUUAACAAUUUUAUUAACA
rnacentral:lncRNA from 1 species